AUUCUGAUUUGAGAGAGGGGCUGAAGGGAAGAGAAAAGAAGACUGCCACAUCCAUCCUGGUUUGCCUGUCCAAGAGCUCUUGAGCCACCCCACCGUGACUACUGGGACCAGAACUGCCCUGCAGGGCACUCAGCAGCACUAACUGCAGGGCUUCCACUCUGCAGUUUUGGUGUCACAUACUCACAGAACCGAGGCUUCCAGCCCUGAGAAGUGGGACAACUGUCAUUGCAUCACACAGCUCUCUGAGCUUCCCAGUGGGCAUACUGCCUCAAGAGGUUUUACCCUGAAGAAAAAAUUAGAUUACUGAAGCAACAGAAGACGAGAAAAGCCAGUAAGGAGAGACCCAGCAGAGUUCCUACAAUAGCUCCAGCAAUUAUACCAGCUGUAU